rnacentral:sRNA from 1 species
CGUUUGCGUUAGGGAUAGUAGCGGUAUCCUUUUAUUUUUUUCUUUAAAAAAUAAAAGAUAUAGCGGAUAGCCCGACCGAAG